CCCCUGGACCCAGCUGUGUCUCCAUGAUGAGUGGAUGGAACAUCCUCUAUGGAACAUCCUUUUAACUUUAAAGAUGGAAAUCAGUCUAUUGAGAAAAGAAGAGUCCAGCAGCAGAGAGCAGACUCCCUGGACCCAGCUGUGUCUCCAUGAAGAGUGACCACUCUAUGAAUCAUCCUGCUGAGUUGAAAGAUGGAAAUCAGUCUAUUGAGAAGAGCCCAGAGCAGCAGCAGAGAGCAGACUCCCCUGGACCCAGCUGUGUCUCCAUGAAGAGUGACCACUCUAUGAAUCAUCCUGCUGAGUUGAAAGAUGGAAAUCAGUCUAUUGAGAAAAGCCCAGAGCAGCAGCAGAGAGCAGACUCCCCUGGACCCAGCUGUGUCUCCAUGAAGAGUGACCACUCUAUGAAUCAUCCUGCUGAGUUGAAAGAUGGAAAUCAGUCUAUUGAGAAAAGAAGAGUCCAGCAGCAGAGAGCAGACUCCCCUGGACCCAGCUGUGUCUCCAUGAAGAGUGACCACUCUAUGAAUCAUCCUGCUGAGUUGAAAGAUGGAAAUCAGUCUAUUGAGAAGAGCCCAGAGCAGCAGCAGAGAGCAGACUCCCCUGGACCCAGCUGUGUCUCCAUGAAGAGUGACCACUCUAUGAAUCAUCCUGCUGAGUUGAAAGAUGGAAAUCAGUCUAUUGAGAAAAG
ensembl:lncRNA